CAGGUGUGCGCCACCACGCCUGGCUGAAGCAAGUGGCUCUGACGCAGGCUGGGCCAUGUUUAGACAGUGACAAGACAGGGGGAGAACAACUGGGGAUCUCAAGAGCAACGGAGCCAAACUACAGGCAGGCGACCAAGGCUGGUCGGUGGGCUUGCAGGAGAUUCCUUUGGAGCUGACAAGGGAGAGGCCUGAAGUCUUCCCUCCAGGACCGCUUUUGUCCUUCCAGGAGAGGAGGAAGAUGGCGCCUUCGAAUUCCGACCGCUCCACCUGCUGGCCACGCCCUCCUCUCCUCCUGAGGCCGGAGCCCAGACGCAAUGUAGAAAUAAGAGAAUCGCCAGAGCCUUGGAAAAAUAAGCUGUGGCAAGAGCUCAGAGACGCGAAUUCCGGCUGGGCUUGUCUCUGGGCGGCCUCCUUCCGCGGGGAGAGUCUGCGCCAAGUAAGUCUCGAUCUCAGCAGUGGGAGAGGAAUUCAGACACCCCGGGCUCUGUCGGCGGCGCUGCUGCCAGGGACCUCCUGGUGGAGCUGUGGAGUCUGAGGCUCCGGCCACUGUCCCCAGGUCUGUCCCCGGUCCCCACCUCAAGUCCUCUCCACGUCGCUCCUCCAGGGUCCUGCUGCGAGGAAGGCAGCCCCGCUGCUGCCAUGGUCCGGAGUGGACCCGUGCCCUCCUUGAGGAAGCCUCCCUCCCACUGCCGCUGUUCCCAGCACCCCACGACCCACUGGUCUUCCUGCCCCAGUCGCCGCGCUUCUUCCCCAAAGAUGCUACACACUGGGGUCCCCCCACUCGUGCCUCUUGAUGUCCACUCCAGGCCCCGAUGCACCCACUGCCCCUCAGUCCGGGAGGACACAGGACGUCCUGGCCCCAUCACGGGUUCUGGGGCCCCCAGGGUCUGAGCCCCGGGUCUUCGCUCUUAGAGCUGGGUGAACAGGGUGCUUCCCACUGCAAAGGGAGCAUCAGAGUCAUGUCUGGAUCACAGAACUGCCAGGCACGUCGGGGCAAGCUGUAAUCCUAGCUACUCAGGAGGCAGAGGCAGGAGGAUCUCAAGUUGGGCAAUUUAGCAACUUAUUGAGACCUUUCAAAAAAAUUUAAAAAUUUUAACAAAAGAGCUGGGGAUGUAGCGCAGUGGUUGAGUGCCCCUGAGUUCAAUACCCAGCACCUAAAAAAAUGUCAGUUCUCGGGUGCCUCCCACGGUGCCUGGCAAAAGGCAAGCUCGGCCCAGCUUUUCCUUAGAGAGUGCUGCGGGUCAACACCUUCUCCACCCAUGGAGCAGGGAGCCUGCAGGGAACAGCAGCAGGCCAUGGGCACUGCACUGGGACGCGCUCAGCCCUUGUGGGCCUUGCCCAGGGACCGCUUGGCUUGAGCCUCUGGAAGCUUCCAGGCAUGCGCAGAAGACAGAACCCAGAUGAAAGAGAGGCUGAGCGAUCUCACUACAUCAAAAUGGAAAAACGCUGGAAAUUGCCAGAAAAAGAAAUGGUUUCCAGGAUGGUUGUCCAGGCUGCCAACCCAGCAACCACAAGGAGGUUUACCUUAAACCACAUUCCAGGUUCAAGAAAGCAGGAAACCUGAGAUUCAGAGAAAGACUUCAAGGCCUGUUUGCUUUCCCGGGAUGUUUUCCUCCGAUCCUGAGCCUCCUGAGUCCCUUGGACACGGCAGGCCAGGCCACACCUCCCAGCUCUACUUCCUCCUGUCCUUAAGGUGCAUUUGUCACUGUCCACCUGUCCAGGCGGCCACCCUCCCAUCCACUCUACCCUCACUGGGCCUCCCUCACUCUGCCCUGCGUUUCCACUGCACCCCGACUUCUAACGGAGAUAUAAUUUGACACUUCUUGAUUUAUUCCUAUGUGAGCUAUAUCAUUGUUGUUAUUAUUAUUACAUUUAUUGUCUUGAUCGUAGGCUCUGUGAUGACACUGUUUUUGCUGUUGUUGUUUUUGGUUUUAUGAGACAGGGUUUCACUAUGUAGGCCAAGCUAGCCUUGAACUCACAGUCCUCCUGCCUCAGCCUCCUAAGAUUAUAGGCACGUGUUACCUCACCUCAUCCUGGCAUUAGUUUGUUUUUGUUUUUGUUUUUUGAGGUAGAAUUCCACUAUGUAGUUCAUGUUGGCCUUGAUCUCACUAGAAGCCCAGGCUGGGUUUGAGCUCAUGGCAAUCCUCCUGCCUCAGUCUCCUGAGGGCUGGGAUUAUAGGUGUGUGCCACCAUGCUUGGUCUAGCCUGUUUUUUGACUGUUUUAUCCACAGACCCUAAAACAAAGUGACUGUCACACUGUCACAAAGUAGGAACUCAAAUGUGUGAAUGAGUGAGUGAACAUGUAAGCUACCCUAAUGGUUACUCACUAAACAUACUAGACUUAUGAGGGAAGUAUCAGCCCAUGGACAAAUGCAGUGGUGAUGAAUUUCAUUUGUGGACAUGCAGCCGACAUGCAGGGGCUGCAUGACCAACCAUGACAGGCAUCCGGGCACAGCGCACACGUAGAUACACUGAGUGACAGAGCGCACACAACCUGAGAUGCUAACAUGGAGGCUCAGGCUUCGAACCUGAAGAACCCACUUCACAUCCCAGGGCAGUGGGCGUGGUGGCAUAUGUCUGUCAUCUCAGUACUGGGGAGGCUGAGGCAGGAGGAUCCUGGGGAGGUGUGUGGGGAAUCUGUUCAGUCCACCCUGGACUUCCUAGGAGAGUUCUGACCUCCAGGACUCUGUGUCACCAUUGGGUCCUAAGUCCCAGUUGGGCGAGGGGAAUAGAGGAGUCACACUCGAGGACGAAGUCUGUGUUUUGGAGAUGGAGCCCAUUUCUCGCUAUUUAAGAACCUGUGCUAGGUUCACGAAUUACACUUUUGGUUUUCGAAUCAGGCAGAAUUGCUUUGAAGGACAUAGAAGGCAAGAACUCAUGGAAACGGAAAGGAGAGAAAUGCUGGCAGAGGAGCUGCUCCAGUGACCUCGGGGGCUGGAGGACUUGGGGACCCCCCCAGCAGCAGGUUGGAGCAGGUCUCUGGCCCUUCUAUUCUCUCAUUUUGGCCCAGAUUAGGCAAUAGUUCCUGGCUUUGUUUAAUCUGAAUCCUGUGUGAGUUUUUCGAGACAUGAAGACCUGCUUUGAAUCUUUUUUUUUUUUUUUCUUUUUGAUACCGGGGAUCGAACUCCGGUACUUGCACUUGAGCAGCAGGCGGUGAAACCACUGAGCUAAAUCCCCAGCCCAUGAAGACCUGCUUUGAUGUCCCUGGCCACGGCCAGGCCCAGCGUGGGGCUGAUGAGCUUCCACCUCCGCCAGCUGACUUCGCCCCUUCCAGCUUGGGUUCCAGCCACCGGGUUUCCAGUUAUGCUCUGAAGUCCCUGUAUUUGUGUCCCCUCUCUCUGUUUUAUAGGUAGAAAGAGGUGCUGAAGCAUUUCCCAAGGUGGAGGGCCUUCGGAAGUGUCCCACCGGGAAACUUGGAUUAAAGCCUGGCCUAGGCUGUCACAGACCUCAGCCUUCCGGAGGCCACAGCUUGCCCCAGGCUCUGUUUCUCUGGCUGUAAAGUGAAGGAGUUGGUAUGGUUGGGCACUCUGAGGUCUGUGGGUUGCAAGGGACAAUGAACCACCUCAGCACAGCUUGAGCAACAUGGGGGGUCUAUUAGCUUUUCGUAGCCAAUUGUAUCAGUUGGCUUUCCCGUUGGUGGACACAAUUCAGAGGGGAGAGUUAAGACAGGGUGUCAAUAUGAAGGUCAGGCUGGUCUUAAUCUCGCUGUGUAGCGCAGGCUGCCACUGAAUUCCAGGCGAUCCUGCCUCAGCCGCCCAAGUGCUGGGAUCAUAGGCGUGUGCCACCCCACCAGUUUGAUUUUUUUUAUUGGUACAUGUUGGAUAUACAUAGGAUAAUGUUCACCACAGGGAAUUUGUACUGGUACAUGAUGUAUCUUGCUUCUUUGUCUCCCAUUCCCCUCCCCUCCCUGCAACCCCUCUUCCCCUCGUGUACAAAAGCUUUGUUUCCUUUUUCCCUUCUGUUCUCUUUUUCUCUUGUCCCUUCCUUCCUUUCUCCCUUCCCUCC